GCUCUGGUGGCCCAGUGGUUAGAGCAUCCACUUUAGAUGUGGGAGGUUGCGGGUUUGAACUCCAGCCAAGUCA